UUGGAGAAACCAAAGCUGCUUCAUCGAAUAGAAGUGAGAGAGAGAGGCCUCAGAGAUCAUAGUCGUCUUCUCCAAUUCUCAGACAUGGGUACUUUCAAGCCAUCUUUCAUCCUCUGCCCAACGUUCGUUUGAGAGAUUUUCGAUCUACGAGUUCAUCCAUCGUUUCUCUUCAGAGUCAAAACCUCUACAGAGGAGGAGAAAGAACAUAAGCCACCUGUACAGCAGAGAUAGCAAGAUGUAGAUCCCCUUCCACCACCCAAUACCAUAUAUAUAAACACCUGUCCAAACUCUUUUGAACAAUAAGCAACUAAAAGUUGCUCAUAUUUUGAUGUUUUUAUAUCUGCUUGAUCUAUUAAAAUGUGUCCAAUAUUUUCACAUAACAAGCAGCACAUAAAACAUGUUAUUAGUUUAUUCUUUGUAACUUAAGCUAGCUAAACUAAGGAGUACCAUUUUCCCUGCA